rnacentral:tRNA from 1 species
GCCUUCGUGGUGUAGUGGUCAGCACGCUCGACGCGUAUUCGAGAGGUCCGUGGUUCGAGUCCCAGCGAAGGCG